GAAAUGGGCAAUAACAAGGGAUGGAUUUAUGGAAGAAGUAAAGACGUCAAGCUAUAUAGCUGCACCCAUGGUGGCGGUUUCGGUGUUGCAGUAUCUGCUGCAAGUUGUGUCGGUGGUGAUGGUGGGACAUCUUGAUGAUCAGCUCGCCCUCUCCGGCGUUGCCAUUGCUACUUCCCUCACCAAUGUUGUUGGAUUCAGCCUUCUUUCAGGAAUGGCAGGUGCAUUGGAAACUCUAUGUGGUCAAGCUU
rnacentral:misc_RNA from 1 species